UUCACAAACGAGUUGGGUUAAUUUUCUAAUUUUCCUUUUCUUUCUUUUUCCUUUUUUCCUUUUU
rnacentral:ribozyme from 1 species